rnacentral:rRNA from 1 species
GCAUAUCAAUAAGCGGAGGAAAAGAAACCAACAGGGAUUGCCUCAGUAACGGCGAGUGAAGCGGCAACAGCUCAAAUUUGAAAUCUGGCCCCAGGCCCGAGUUGUAAUUUGCAGAGGAUGCUUUUGGCGCGGUGCCUUCCGAGUUCCCUGGAACGGGACGCCAUAGAGGGUGAGAGCCCCGUCUGGUUGGACACCAAGCCUCUGUAAAGCUCCUUCGACGAGUCGAGUAGUUUGGGAAUGCUGCUCAAAAUGGGAGGUAUAUGUCUUCUAAAGCUAAAUACCGGCCAGAGACCGAUAGCGCACAAGUAGAGUGAUCGAAAGAUGAAAAGCACUUUGAAAAGAGAGUUAAAUAGCACGUGAAAUUGUUAAAAGGGAAGCGUUUAUGACCAGACUUGGGCCGGUUAAUCAUCCAGCGUUCUCGCUGGUGCACUUUGCCGGUCCAGGCCAGCAUCAGUUCGUCGCGGGGGAUAAAGGCGUCGGGAAUGUGGCUCCUCGGAGUGUUAUAGCCCUUCGCGCAAUACCCUGCGGUGGACUGAGGUUCGCGCUCUGCAAGGAUGCUGGCGUAAUGGUCAUCAACGACCCGUCUUGAAACACGGACCAAGGAGUCGUCUUCGUAUGCGAGUGUUCGGGUGUAAAACCCCUACGCGUAAUGAAAGUGAACGCAGGUGAGAGCUUCGGCGCAUCAUCGACCGAUCCUGAUGUUCUCGGAUGGAUUUGAGUAAGAGCAUACGGGGCCGGACCCGAAAGAAGGUGAACUAUGCCUGUAUAGGGUGAAGCCAGAGGAAACUCUGGUGGAGGCUCGCAGCGGUUCUGACGUGCAAAUCGAUCGUCAAAUAUGGGCAUGGGGGGCGAAAGACUAAUCGAACCUUCUAGUAGCUGGUUUCCGCCGAAG